rnacentral:lncRNA from 1 species
GAGAAUUGAUUCUUUAAUUUCUCAAAUUGCGCCCAGACGGGGGCUAAGGCAAUGAGUUUGAGAGAUGAUAGUGAGGGUGUAGACGAACCUGUUGAGAAAAAGAGUGGGAGUGUUCCAAGAAAAAAUCCACAACCAUCAAGGAAAAAUCAGAGGGAUGGUGGAAGGAAUAUAGUAUCUCUUGUCCAGUUGAAGCAUCCAUUCCAAGGGACAAUGAUCGUGCUUAUGAUCCUCCAGAGGGUUGCCUCGCUUUGAAUUCGACCAUUCUUCAUGUCGGGUUAAGGCUAACAUUUCUUCACAUUACCUGGAAGUUCCUAUCCUCGUGAGGAAUCAUCCUUGUGCAACUUUGUCCAAACGGGUCGAGGUCCUUGUGUGCUUGCAUGCUACUUUGGCACAAGUUUUCUGUGGACUAGUUUAGUUUCUUGUAUAUUUUUAAGGAGGAGAACGAGGAUUCAAGGUGAUAUUAUACCCAUUGUUUAGGCUAGGACAGGAUGGUCUAGUGUUGGGUGUUAUUUCUUCUUUGAAGAGCUGGAAAGACAACUUCUUUUACAUAAGGUGGGAUUGGUAGUUUAAUUCGACUGAGGUGAAGGGAAUGACGUUUUUCCAAUUUGGUAUCGUAAAAUUUGUAAGUGUAGUGUAUUUAGCCCCCAUAUGGCUCCCAUUCUUUCUAAAUUUUAAUGGUUGGAAUAGUGUUUUUUUAAAAAUGUGUGAUUGAAAAAGAAUGAAAAGUUUUUGAUUUGCGUGUAAUAUUAUUUUAUGAAAAAUUGUGUGGUUAACUGCUGGCAUGACAUUUCAGAUUUUUUCCCUUUUUUCUUAUGUUUGACAGUUUACCGUCCUUGCAAUAUUAUUAUGAGCACGAGGUAGGUAGCUAGGGCUGCUAAAGAGCCUG